rnacentral:sRNA from 20 species
UAACGAUCUCGUUAUGGCGAGGCUCCUGCAUAAAUACAAGUUACCGCCCUGUUGGUAUCGAGAGAGACCACUCAGGGAAAUACAGGCUUCCAUCGAAUCAAGGUGUUGCCAAGGUAACUUCUGGCGGUCAUGACCGUUCAGAUACGUUAUGCAGUGCUAAAACCAGGACGUAGGGAUCUGCC